UCGGAGACUUUAAUGAAAGGUU
rnacentral:sRNA from 1 species